GACGAACGCUGGCGGCGUGCUUAACACAUGCAAGUCGAACGGAAAGGCCCUGCUUUUGUGGGGUGCUCGAGUGGCGAACGGGUGAGUAACACGUGAGUAACCUGCCCUUGACUUUGGGAUAACUUCAGGAAACUGGGGCUAAUACCGGAUAGGAGCUCCUGCUGUAUGGUGGGGGUUGGAAAGUUUCGGCGGUUGGGGAUGGACUCGCGGCUUAUCAGCUUGUUGGUGGGGUAGUGGCUUACCAAGGCUUUGACGGGUAGCCGGCCUGAGAGGGUGAACGGCCACAUUGGGACUGAAAUACGGCCCCGACUCGUACGGGAGGAAGCAGUGGGGAGUAUUGCACAAUGGGCGGCAGCCUGAUGCAGCCACGCAGCGUGCGGGAUGACGGCCUUCGGGUUGUAAACCGCUUUCGCCUGUGACGAAGCGUGAGUGACGGUAAUGGGUAAAGAAGCACCGGCUAACUACGUG
rnacentral:rRNA from 1 species